UCUUAUCAACACCUAUAUGGCUAUGUUC
rnacentral:sRNA from 1 species